UUGGCUAUGACCACCCUGCGCUGACUGUCGGGCCGUACAAUGCCCAGGUCUGCACCAGCCUAUGCACUGAGCUCCCGUGCGAUGACAGGAAGUGCUGAUAGGAAGAGGGAGGGCGCGUGCACUCUCUCCCCUCCCCCGCCUUCUCUCUGCCGUGCAGUCUUAGAACCUCGGAAGGCAGAGGAGAGGCCGUGUACCCUGUCUUCCUCCGCCCCCUCCCCUCAGCUCUAAACUCCGGCCGGAUCUUUCAUGCAAUGGUCACCAGCAGCACAAUGGACAUCCUCAACAUUGAAAUUGCAAGUAAAGUUUAAUUCUCAUGAUACCUGGACGUCUACGUGGUCAAGGUUUUCUUCUGAUUUCUUCUAAAUUUUAUCCAGUUGAGAAUUUCAGUUCCAUGUUUGAGAUACUGUUCUCCUUGAUUCUUCUCAUCUUCGCAACAAGAAAGAAGAUUAACAGUUGGAACUUGGUGGUUUUAUGAAGCAUGAUCCACACGGAUUGGCUGUUACUGAGCUGUUACUAUGUUUGGUUGUGCUAAAGUUUUCUUCACCUUUUUUCAAUAUGUUAACCUUGCUGCUGUAAGCUAUAUUAAAGAAAGAAUAGCAUAAUAUUCACCUCCUGUCUUUAUAA